rnacentral:rRNA from 1 species
AACGUAGGAGGCGAGCGUUAUCCGGAUUUACUGGGUGUAAAGCGCGUGCAGGCGGUUUGCUAAGUUGGGGGUGAAAGCUCCUGGCUCAACUGGGAGAGGUCGCUCAAGACUGGCCGACUGGAGAGCAGUAAGGGAAGGUGGAAUUCCGGGUGUAGUGGUGAAAUGCGUAGAUAUCCGGAGGAACACCAGUGGCGAAGGCGGCCUUCUGGACUGCUUCUGACGCUCAGACGCGAAAGCUAGGGGAGCAAACGGG